rnacentral:rRNA from 1 species
GCCCUUAGAGUUUGAUCCUGGCUCAGAACGAACGCUGGCGGCAGGCCUAACACAUGCAAGUCGAACGAUAAGUCGCGGUUCGCCGCGACCCAAAGUGGCAGACGGGUGAGGAACAUGUGGGAAUCUACCCAAAGGCGGGGAACAACCCAGAGAAAUCAGGGCUAAUACCCCAUACGCCCAAUCCUUAAUCAGAUUGGGGAAAGAUCUUUCGCCUUCGGAGGAGCCCGCACGGGAUUAGUUAGUUGGCGCGAUAGUAGCGCACCAAGACCAUGAUCCCUAGCUGGUCUGAGAGGAUGAUCAGCCACACUGGGACUGAGACACGGCCCAGACUCCUACGGGAGGCAGCAGUGGGGAAUCUUGCGCAAUGGGCGAAAGCCUGACGCAGCCAUGCCGCGUGAAGUGAAGAAGGCCCUCGGGUUGUAAAACUCUUUCGCCGGUGACGAUCGCUGGACCGUAACCUGGUAAAGAAAGCCCCGGUCCAACUUCCGUG